UGUACUGACAGUGCUAUUGUCUGGCUUAUCUAACAUCAGAUGGAGUCAAUAAGUAUGUAUAUGAAGUUCAUGAUUGAGGACUAAUUUGCCAGAAAUAUAGUCAGUAGAUCUAAUAUGGACUACAGUAUGGCUGAUGUGACAUCAGAAGGCGUCAAGUUUGAAAAAUGCACUUUCAGCCAUCUUUCUGUAAUCGCGAUGCGUGAGGCAACUUUGCUGAUCAAAGAAGAAACCAAAGGAGCGCACGUUUGGAUGACUACAGAUGAGACGUUAUGUACUACAAAUAAAGAGGCAAUUAUAUAUUCAUUUUGUAGGAUCAGUACAGAUUUGUUAUUGGAGAUACAGUGCAAGCUGUGUGGAAUCAAAGACCCGUAUUGAUGAGGCCAGUGUCAGUGAAGAUGGUGUGGUCACUGGAAUCCUGGUGUUUCUGGGAUAUGUGAAGGAGCCUCUCCCAGGAUUCUACUUCAGUGUUGUCCUGAUGACUGAGGUAUUUUUUGUUUUUUUGUUUUUUUACUUUCCUGCCUCUUUGGAACAUGUCCAUUUACGCAUACUGUGUAGAGAUGGUGCGCAGCUUCAUGGACAUUUGAGGUUUUCUGCCGAUGGAGAGCUUUUGGGACAUUGACAUAAACAGCACUUUUUCCUACAACUUCAAAGUUGGUGACAGACAAUUUUGGUUUUCUUGUUUAUGUGCCUUUGGAAUUCGUCAAGUUUUCUUUUCAAAAUUACAUUCACUGUAAUGCUGGAGUAAGAUUUUAAAAGAAACCUUUUGGUCCUGUUUAAUGUUUGUGCUAGUAAAGGUUUCAGAGCUUAUAAGUAACAAGGUUCGGUAACACUUUACAAUAAGGUCUCAUUUGUUAACAUUAAUUAAUAUAUUAAGACAACAUGAUCUAACUAUGUGCAUUAACUUUUUUACAGUAUUUAUUAAUCUUUGUUAACAUUAUGUAAUAAAAAAAAAUAGAUUUUUCAAGUGAGUUAAAAUGUAUAGUCAUUGUUCAUGUUAGUUUACAGUGCAUUAUCUAUUAACAUAUGCAACUUUUGAUUUUAAUAAUGCAUAAGUAAAUGUUAAAAUUAAUAUUAACUAGGAUUUAUAAAUGCUUUAAAGUAUUUUUCAUUCAUAGUUCAUGUUAACUAAAGUAGUUAACUAAUAAAAAGUUAUUGUAAAGUGUUACAAAGUUUUGAAUCUUUUCUUUUCUUUACAUUUUGUUUGUAUUAAGUCAUGGGUGUUAUCUUAUUUAUCAUCUUAUAGAUCAUACAGAAUGAUUUUUUCUGAAAAUGUAAAAAUACAGAAAGUAUUGUGAUGGGUAGGUUUAGGUACCUUUGUAUGUGAGGGAGAAAAUGACUCACUGUCCUCCAGACUCUUUGUAAAUGAGAGUUAAAGUGUUGUAAUUGUUUGUGAUUGUGUAUAGUGUUUCUUGGGUUUUCUUGUCCAUCAACAAAAAGGUUUUUGUGUAUUUGUUUUAGAGAUUGUUUUGUCAAUAAAUGUAGAGGGUUUCAAUUUGCA